rnacentral:rRNA from 1 species
CCUACGGGGGGCAGCAGUGAGGAAUAUUGGUCAAUGGACGAGAGUCUGAACCAGCCAAGUAGCGUGAAGGAUGACUGCCCUAUGGGUUGUAAACUUCUUUUAUAUGGGAAUAAAAUGUUCCACGUGUGGGAUUUUGUAUGUACCAUAUGAAUAAGGAUCGGCUAACUCCGUGCCAGCAGCCGCGGUAAUACGGAGGAUGCGAGCGUUAUCCGGAUUUAUUGGGUGUAAAGGGAGCGUAGGUGGAUUGUUAAGUCAGUUGUGAAAGUUUGCGGCUCAACCGUAAAAUUGCAGUUGAAACUGGCAGUCUUGAGUACAGUAGAGGUGGGUGGAAUUCGUGGUGUAGCGGUGAAAUGCUUAGAGAUCGCGAAGAACUCCGAUUGCGAAGGCAGUUCACUGGACUGCAACUGACACUGAGGUUCGAAAGUGUGGGUAUCAAACAGGAUUAGAUACCCGGGUAGUC